GUCUGUGGCCACACCACUGUGAAUGCACCAGAUCACAUCUGAUCUUGGAAGCUAAGCAGGGUCGGGUGUGGUUAAUACUUGGAUUGGAGACCACCUCAGAAUACCAGGUGCUGUAGGCU
ensembl:rRNA 5S_rRNA 5S ribosomal RNA